rnacentral:rRNA from 1 species
AUUGAACGCUGGCGGCAGGCCUAACACAUGCAAGUCGAACGGUAACAGGAAGCAGCUUGCUGCUUCGCUGACGAGUGGCGGACGGGUGAGUAAUGUCUGGGAAGCUGCCUGAUGGAGGGGGAUAACUACUGGAAACGGUAGCUAAUACCGCAUAAUGUCGCAAGACCAAAGAGGGGGACCUUCGGGCCUCUUGCCAUCGGAUGUGCCCAGAUGGGAUUAGCUUGUUGGUGGGGUAACGGCUCACCAAGGCGACGAUCCCUAGCUGGUCUGAGAGGAUGACCAGCCACACUGGGACUGAGACACGGUCCAGACUCCUACGGGAGGCAGCAGUGGGGAAUAUUGCACAAUGGGCGCAAGCCUGAUGCAGCCAUGCCGCGUGUGUGAAGAAGGCCUUCGGGUUGUAAAGUACUUUCAGCGGGGAGGAAGAGAGUAAAGUUAAUACCUUUGCUCAUUGACGUUACCCGCAGAAGAAGCACCGGCUAACUCCGUG